CUUGGCUGAAGAUCAGAGGGGAGGGGACGUGAAUUUCAGCUUUCUCUCUGGCUUCUGUGUUGUGGCAGAAGCAGUACGAUGGUGUGGUUCCAGGUUAGCUGUGGAGCCAGUGUUCGGAAUGUUCUGGAAGCCCUGGUCUCGGGUGCUUUUCCAUAGCAGACCAGUGCAGGCUGGUGAGUUCUGGCUCAUGAUCUCUGUGUGCCACUCCUUCUUCUCCCCUUUACGCUUCCAGCCUUUCCAGUGCCCUUCUGUUCACUUUCCACAUUCACCUCUCUCUGUGAGAAAUACCUGGAAGGUUUCUGUUUGCUUGACUGGGCCUUGAGUGACCUACAGAGAUAAUAACAGAGGUGACGGGACCUAGGGAGCCCAUGUGUCAACAUUCAGGAGACGACUCUUCAGCCCCAAGACCCUUCUAAGAGGUUGGAAACCCACACCGGAGGAUCUCCCAUGGCCUCCGGGCUUCUGAGGCUCUCUGCCUCUCCGAUGAAGCAAAACCAGACUCUGGCAACCACGGAGUGUGCGAGGGCUUGAGGGUCGGAGGGGACCGAGAAGCCCAGUCCAGGCUGCAGCCAGCCAAGAGGUCCGUCUUCCCCUUCCCAAAGCCAGAGAAGGUCUGGACCUGGACAGAGCGACACCGUGCCUGAGGGAAGGGGCUGCCCCGGGCCUGCCUUCCUGCGCGGUCGGGAGGAGAUGGGAGGGCUCACAGAGAGAGCAGUUCGGAUGGCAGAGGGGCACCCCCGGGGCCCCAACAAGGAAAGGUAGCUAUGCAAAUCCCGAGUACAUGACUUGAGGUCUCAAACUGGAAUCCUUCCCAAAGGGAUUGUUCAAAUCACCGCUCACCUGGAAAUGUGUACAAUCACUGUGUCGAUUAAAUGUUAAAGUAUUUCCAUCAUCAAAGACUGAUUUGUAUUUGGGAUGCACAGAAGUAGCAAAAAAAAAAAACUUUUAAAGCAGCAAACCACACCCGCGCAUGCGCGCGCACACACGUACACACGCGCACACACGCGCACUUUCUCCAGCCCACUCCUCUCAGACAAAGAGCAGCCGGAGCCAGGUCGCGCCCACCCUCUUCCCUUCGACCCAGGAGACAACACAAAGUCCCUCCAGUUCUGCGACACAGAAGGGUGCAGCCAGGGACGGGGGCUGCGGGGGGCCAGUUCCGGGCCUUAGUCAUCUCCACGCCUGGCAGGGCGCACCGUCAGCACCCGAUUUUGGCAGUGUCUCCUCCAUAGAUCCUAAUUUCCAUCUUGUUCACUCUGCAUUGCCAAUCCAAGGCCCAGAAUGCUCUCCGUGUUUUUGUGGCUGAAGACCUGAACUUGCCCAGCGCUACAGCCCUGAGCUUGUUUUUAACCCAGCUUGUCCUGUCAUUGGACGGGUGCCUCUCUGACUCUCUUCUUCACACUGCUCAGGCUGCCCGCCCUCCCGUGGGUUCUGCCCCCUCCACGGGUCCCUGCCCACUCCCCGUGCGGCCACCAUGCCCCUCCUGGGCUGUGACACUCCUCUCUGGGCGGCCAUGGGAGCCCGGCAGUGGCCGGCUCUCUCCCUCUGAUGUGGCCAAUGGAUUAGGACUGGACAGUCCAGAGAAGGAAGGGACAUAGGAAGACAAGCAGAGGAGGGAGAGAAGAGGACCGUGGGGAGAGGCAGACAUGCUGAAUGUCUUUAGAAAACCAACUUUGCUUCCUUCGCAGAGACCACUUUUUGUCUUGACUCGCAGUCGGCCUUCUUCAGGAAGCUCCUCCUCCCUGGAACUGCCCUGCCUUGACCUUGGGCUUUCUAGUGUGUCUCUGUAGAAACGUCUGUCUCCGGUCACACGCGC
ensembl:lincRNA